GGAAUGCUUAACUUGGCUUGUCUCAGCUCUGUGAUCCUCAUAUUGGAGGAUGUUGUUGACCCAUGUUCCUGGAGUGCGCAGAAUAUCCUUGCUGCCCAGAGACCACAAGCAUGCCAGAGCCACGCACUGCUUGGAGCUCAUUGCAGAGGUGCUGGCAGUCCUGCUGCCUCCGUGUGGGAAGCUGCAUAGCUGCUACAGCACAAUCCUGUUGGUUUUACUGGUUACCUCUUCUGAACCUUUCCUGGUGGGCUUACAGCUCAUUGCUGUCUCAGAGGAACAGGAGAGCAGAGUCUGGCUGCUAAACAUAUGGAGCUCUUCAAGUCUCUCACUUGAUGCUCUUCCUGAACUGAAUCAUGGAAACGAAUUACGUUGCACCCAGCAUACCAUGGGGGGAAACAAGGGGAAUAUGUUUUGCACAGAAACAUUGUGCUUCAGCAGGGCUUGGGAGAGAAAGAAGAAGACGAGGAGAGGGAAGACUAGGCAGGGCAGGAGACAGAUAGCUCCUUAGGCAAACUGCAAAGAAAAUCAUCUGGGGAUGAAAACAGGACUGUGUGUGUCCCAUAGGUCUGUAGUUACUUAACUGCUGUUUUGAAAAAAAGGCACGGGGCAGAGACUGCUUAGAACAUAAUUAAUCUCCAACUGCAUCUGCUGGUGGUUUGACCCUAGCAGAUCCAGAAACUUACCUGGCAUGGACAGGCAGCGUGGUUCUCUGCGACUUGCCCAAGUUAUCAGACAGAGGCAUUUGGUCAUCAUCAUAACGUUCUGGAACAAAGAGGCUGUGCUGGGAAGAAAAAUAAAAUAGUUUUUAUUUCAUUCUCUGGAAAGGAA
rnacentral:lncRNA from 1 species